UACGUAGGGUGCAAGCGUUAUCCGGAAUUAUUGGGCGUAAAGAGCUCGUAGGCGGUCUGUCGCGUCUGCUGUGAAAUCUGGGGGCUCAACCCCCAGCCUGCAGUGGGUACGGGCAGACUAGAGUGCGGUAGGGGAGAUUGGAACUCCUGGUGUAACGGUGAAAUGCGCAGAUAUCAGGAGGAACACCGGUGGCGAAGGCGGGACUCUGGGCCGAUACUGACGCUGAGGCACGAAAGCGUGGGGAGCAAACAGG
rnacentral:rRNA from 1 species